rnacentral:lncRNA from 1 species
ACAUAUAAUACAUAUAAUUAUUAUAUUAAUAUAUACGGUUAUAUUAUAUAGUUGAUGUCAUAAAAAUAAAUUUAAAUCAAUAAUCAAUUACUUCUCAUACAUCCGUAUACUGGCUGAGCCAGUCUUUGCUCCAGGCUUUAGGUCAAGUUCAAAUUUGUUCCUUUUACUUCUAAUUCCAGGGUCCAGGAUGAAGAUUCACUAGCUUCCUAGGCCAUAAUCUUCUCAGAUGGAUGGAAGGAGACCAAGAAGUCAAGCUGAAAUACAUAGCAUAUGUACUGGAUUCCUUUAAGAAUCAAGCCAAUAAGAAGCUUAUUUGGGAAAAUAUCACCCAUUGCCUUAAAAAAUAGUAAGCCAAAAGUAAGAGUUCUAGUUUUAUGCUUUUUUUCUUAAUUAACAUAUUUUACUAAAGGAAAACAUUGAAUUCAGAGUUUAUAUAGCUAAU